rnacentral:lncRNA from 1 species
UUUUCAAGUAUGAUCCUCCAAAUGACACCACACGUCCUCACAGCGUGUACUUGUUCCAAAACCCUUGGAGCUUCAUGAAGUGUGAUUUAAGCCAAGCCAAGAUGGUGGGAAAACCGACACAAGGAGGUGGAAAAGGCUUUGAGUUUGUGCUCAAGAGUUGGCAGCCUUACUACUUCGCUUGCGGCGAGUACGAUGGCCUCCAUUGUAAGGACGGACUGAUGAGGUUCGCCGUCUUCCCAAUGUUUCGCGGCUGGCAUUACUGAUCUUCUGGCAAUGGAGCCUUUCUAAUUUUCAUAAUUAUGUUCAUUACUCUGUGAGCAAAUAACAAGACUAUUGGUGUGCAAGUUUUGAGAGAGUAUAGUUGAUAAUUUCAUAAUUAUUAAUUCUUGUGUUAACUAGUGUAAGAUAUAAUACAUUAUAUGAUACGUGUGCCGUUUUUUGUAGCAGAAAUUUAUAAAUAAGCUAUUAAAAAUUCAUUGUCUUCCUACUUUUAUUAACCUUAUAGGCAAACAUCCAUCAUUAUCAAGUUGGAAAGGAUGAUAAUAGGUCCUAGUCAUUAACUUUGUUACUCAUUCAACAGCAAAUUUUUUUUCAACGAUUGGAAUUCACAGAUCAUUUUUAUAAACAAAAUAUUAUUAAGAUAUCUAAUUGUGACCAAUAAAAUAAACAAACAAUGUAUUUCAAAUAAAUACUAAAAUUAUAAUUAUUUAAUUCAAAUUUGGAUUUAAAUAAUUUGUUGUAAAGAUGAUUUAAAAAAUUAUAAUAAAAAAUAAAUAAAUAGUUCGAAUCAUUAAAAAACAUGAGGUUGCAUACUUUUCAAGCAAGCCAGCUCUUAUAGUUUCUUCUUUUCCUCCCUAUUUAAAUUUCUAAUCUUUGCUUCAAGAUUUAUAAACCAUGUUGUGUCCUUGAGAUAUUUAUCUCUUCCUUUAAGUCAACUAUUUGAUAAUUUGUAUAUUUUUGUAACUUUGUUUAGUGGUGUCUUGUCCUCAAAAAGUGACUCGAUUCAGAAUUUUUAGGGCUUUGUCAUAAUUAUAGCUGAGUUAGUUAUUUCCCUUAAAAAUGAUUAAAAUUGUUUAUGUUGAGUUUCCCCAAAGUCCUUUAAUCUCUUUGGGUUAUUAUUAUAAUAAUAUGAAGAGAGCUGUUGAGGAAAUAGAAAACGUGAAUGUGAAUGAGCGACUAGAGAUAGAAAAAUGAAAGGCUAUUUCAAUUCUUACCAACUUAUCUUGUUGUCCCGGCCAACAAACAUGUAUGAAUCAUUUCACAGAGUAUAUGUGUUCGGAUAAUUUAAAGUCUCGAUAAUUAGUUUUCAAUUUUCAUGACGAGAAAACAAUAUUAAUGAAGGAAUUUAAAAACAAAAAUCACAUAUCUCAAAACCCUUAUUUUCUGUGAAACGCAACAAAAAAGGACAAAAAGAAAAUGUAUUAUCUUGUUCGAAUUGACUGUGUCAUGGAAAAAAAAUGAAACUGUAAUAUUUAUGAAUUAAUGGUACCCAAAGCUUUGAUGCCACCACCACCCCCCCUCUCUCUUCCCCACAAGAAGCUUGAUAUCUAUCUCAACAAAUUAAUAAUUUAUUUAAUAAAACGAUAUUUUAAAUUAUUCUAAUCUACAAAGAAGAGAUCGGACUCAAAUGCUAAGGAACAAAGACAUCGCUCUACACAACUGACGUAACUCAUAUCAACAUUUCAACAAAUUGAUAUAAAAAAAAGGGCUUUUGACGCUGAGAAAAUACUUUAGAACAUGCCCUUCCUUUUGAAGAAAACCUCAUUUUAUUUGAAGCAUCCGUUUGAACAUGUAUGCUAUGCCAAGUUGGGUUGAUCAGGCCAAAUUUGCAGAGUCUUGAACAUGAUUAGCUAGUAAGACUCUUCCGUAGUGGUUAUUUAUUUAUUUCUCUAUGUCAUCGUCAUGUCACACAAUCGUAUGCCGUAGUUUUUUUCAAAAGCAUGAAAUACAUGUUUUCCCAACUUCUUAGGCCGCAACUUUUACUCGUUUUCCCCAAUAUCUAGUUCGGUUAAGAUCACAAUGCCUAAUUUUCCAUUUCACAUUGACUUUAAAAAUAUAUAUAUUUAGAUAAACUUUUAUGCUCAAAAGAAAUAGUUAAAAAAAGGAUAGCCCAUUUGCGUUUGGUUGAUUCCCUCUAGGUUUGAUGGAGAAAAUUCCCCCAACUCUCAUUCAUUUUUGGAAUUUAAAAAAAUAUAUAUCUUUUUUGCUUCAUUUUUCAGAUGAUUUCAAUGAAAUUAUUGAGUACCUUUUUUUUAUACCGUUAAUUUCACUUCGUUAUGGCAUCUCUAAUGAAUGUUACAAAUGUACAAAGCAAAAGUGUACUUUUGGGUAUGAUAUAAUUUCCAUGAAGAAGAGGUGUGGUGAAAUUUGUUAACCUUCUCACCGCAUCUGCACUAGUUAGAGUUGCUCUUAAGGAAGUCAAUUUACGGCACCUCUUUUUGGGAUUUUGCACUUUGUUUCUUUUUUUCCUCCAAUUUUUUUGCAAUAUGUAUUACAACGUAACAAUUUGUUGAAAGUGAUGACUUAUAAUUAAAAUGAUACUUUCAUCUCUAUACAUACGAGGGAUGGAGUUUAAUUCUUACAUUUUGCUUCCCUUGUAUGAAAAUUGUUGUUUAUUAGAUGGGAAUGAAAUUGAGGCUAGAGAGGGAAAAAGAGACACACGUGGAGGACUGACUUACGGAGACUUAAGCUUACAACUAACAUGUUUUCUUUGUCUUACCCACCCAUUUUGAAAAGGGGUCAAUUAGGCCGUUUUGCACCACUCAAUCUGCCUAAUAUAAGAACCCAUUGCCAACAUCUUAAUUCACAAUCUCAUUCUUAAGUCUCCUUCUCUCAACCCUCUCAAUUUCCUUCUCUCUUCCUUCUCCUUGAGUUGCAUUUGAAAGUGAAUAAUGGGUUCCCAUUAUUUUGCACAAGCCCUAGCAAUGGUGCUAAUUGCUUCAAUGCUGGCAGUCGGCUUAGCCAAUAAGGAUUGGCAACAUGGCAACUACACUGGUUGGGGUUUCAACCGUGGCCUCAACAAGACCAAAGGACCCAACAAAAUCACAGUUGGUGGGUCGGAAAACUGGCAUUACGGAUUUGACUACAAACAAUGGGCUUGGAAGAAUGGCCCAUUUUACAUCAAUGACACUCUAGGUGAGUUUGCAACCUUUUGUUCAUCUUUAGCUUCCUUAAGCCUUUUGGGGAAAAGAAAAAAGCAUGUUUCUGUUCAAGAUGCUUACGUUCACUAGCAUGCUGCAUGCUCUAAUUAUACAUAUGAAAUGUUGCCUUCUAUUGUCAGUUGGAUAUCUAUAAGUUGCUCAGUUACAAAAAUAAUCUGUAUAUUGAUAAUCUGAUAACAUAACAUAUAUUACAUGUGAAACUAUCAAGCAACAUAAAGUUCCUUUAGUUAAAUUUGUCGUAAAUACAUUAAUUCUACCAUGCAAUAUGCUUCACUAUAAGCAACCCUUUUUCCAUGAUGAACAUGCAGUUUUCAAGUAUGAUCCACCAAAUGACACCACACGUCCUCAUAGCGUGUACUUGUUCCAAAACCCUUGGAGCUUCAUGAAGUGUGAUUUAAGCCAAGCCAAGAUGGUGGGAAAACCGACACAAGGAGGCGGAGAAGGCUUUGAGUUUGUGCUCAAGAGCUGGCAACCUUACUACUUCGCUUGCGGCGAGCACAACGGCCUCCAUUGUAAGGACGGACUGAUGAGGUUCGUCGUCUUCCCAAUGUUUCGCGGCUGGAAUUACUGAUCAUCUGGCAAUGGA